rnacentral:rRNA from 1 species
CCUACGGGAUGCAGCAGUGGGGAAUAUUUGGCAAUGGGCGCAAGCCUGACCCAGCAACGCCGCGUGAAGGAAGAAGGCUUUCGGGUUGUAAACUUCUUUUAUUGAGGCCGAAACCAAUGACGGUACUCAAUGAAUAAGCCACGGCUAACUACGUGCCAGCAGCCGCGGUAAUACGUAGGUGGCAAGCGUUAUCCGGAUUUCCUGGGUGUAAAGGGCGUGUAGGCGGGACUGCAAGUCAGAUGUGAACACCAUGGUCUCGACCCAGUGCCUGCAUUUGAGACUGUAGUUCUUGAGUGAUGGAGAGGCAGGCGGAAUUCCGUGUGUAGCGGUGAGAUGCGUAGAUAUACGGAGGAACACCAGGGGCGAAGGCGGCCUGCUGGACAUUAACUGACGCUGAGGCGCGAAAGCGUGGGGAGCAAACAGGAUUAGAUACCCUAGUAGUC